rnacentral:lncRNA from 1 species
ACUUUGAAUAUGACUUUUAGAAUGCUACGAAUUUCAUUAUGAUCAUAUGUAGACUUAUUUUUAAGAGCACUCUUGUUUCUUUUCAAGAAUAUGAAAUAGUCAUAUGAAUCCUUUAAAUUCUAAGUUUAUUUAUCAAUCUAUGCAUGUAUGUUUAAUCGUAAAACAAACAUGUUUAAGGCAUUUUUGAGUUAAUUAACUAAUUUAACAUAUGUGAAUUUAUUUGUCAUUCCUAAAUACGAUUUUCACCAAUAGUUUGAAUCAAACUUAUUGUUAACAAGUGUUAUCAUCAAAAUUAAAUAUGUCAUUAUUUCAACAAAUGGUUCAUUAACUAAUUCUUUGUAUGUUGAAAUAAUCAUCAACCUAAUCUUAAAAGGGGUUUACGAAUGAAUCAAAAUUUCAUACAACAACAAACCAAAUUUGAGCUUAGCUCAAGAGAUUGUACAUAAAUUGGCAAAAACAUAAAGAAUUACUGAAAUGAUGUGGUAAUUCACAAUUUUUAAGAAUGUGGUGUUACGUAACUAGAAUUAAACUAUUAAAUAUAGUCAAGGAACUUGAUUGUAUGCGCCUGAUUGACUUUUAAUAUGAUCCACAAUUAACCGAGGUUAAAUCUACACUAUAUUUUAUCCUCUCUCCUUUUCAAAAUGACUUUCUAAUAUUUCUUUUCUUUGCUCAUUAAAAUGGCACAUAGACCUAUUAAAAUACGACACGCAAUGGUGAAUAUUUUAUUUUGGAAGAAGGGGCUCAAAAUCACAUUGUUAGUUCUUCAUUAAAAUCGUGGAAAAAAGUUUUAUUUGCACAGUAUAACCCAGCUACUCCUGGUGACUCUACACAAAAUCUUCCCAGCUAGCUCAAAAAUUAUCAUGCCCUUGGCACUAUCAAUUUAAUAUAAUUUGAACUACUUCAUUUUCAAUUAGGAAAGUUUCUUAAUUAGUUGUCUAUAAUAGGUCAUGUUGACUAUAUUGAUUUUCUCAUUAUUCUACUUUAUUUAGUUUUUCUUGUUUAGAAUAUAGGCUGUAAUAUAUAUUAAGAGGACAAUGAUUAAUAAAAUUAAGCCUUUACAUAUUUCUUUUUGGUAUCAGAACCAACUAAACCCUAGCCUCCAACACUGCCUUCACAAUAGCCUAAACCCUAACCCACUAGCCACCAGCCAUAGGCCAACAACAGUCCUGCCUCUAUGCAUUCCCUGUGCAACCCAGUCCAACCAACAAUCACCAGACUCAACACUUGUAACAUCCUCUUCCCUUGUGCAGCCACCACUGCAGUCACCAGCAGCCCAACCCAACCCUCACACACAGAGCCCUUGCACAACAAGUCAUCUCGUGCAUAACCAUGCUUUGUACAGUCCAUCCUUGCGCCGUCUAGCACCGUUCAGGCCUUGCACAGGCAAGCUCUUGCACAGUCGCGCAGUCUAGCUUCGUUCAAGCCUCACACAGGCCAACGCAUACACCAUCAAGCAGUCCUGUAGGCCAGCCCAUGUGCCAUCCAGUAGCAUCAUAGUCCAGCAUAGCCGCAUAUUCCAGCAACCCCUACAUCGUCUAGUAGUCCUAUAGGCCAUCCCCUGCACUGUCUAGUACAUUUAGCAGCCGCGCAAUCUAGCACAGCCACACAGUCUAGCAACCAGUAGCCCCAUAAUCCAACAACCAGUAGUCAGUAGUCUAGCGCAGCCAUCAGUUGCACAGUGCAAUUCAGCCUCCAGUCAUUGCGUAGUCUAGUGUAGCCAGCAGUAGCUGCUCGUGCAGUCCAUAUAUCGUGAAGUCUAUAUGUCUGAUAGUAUGACACUUUAAAAAAAAUAUAUUCUCCUUUGAUUUCCUAAGAUUGAUUCUUGGUGUUACGUUGAUAGUUAACCCAGUCAAGGAGGUUGCCCCAGCCCAUAUGGUUUUGUGCCCAACUCCUAUCUACCUAUCUUUUAGUCCCACGGACGCUAUAGUUGCAGGUACUCUUAUCGCUUUUCAUGAUAAGUCAAGUCACCCCACUUGAAUUCUGAAUUUUGGAGCUAAUAAUAACAUGACUGGUGAGCUUUCUACUUUUACCUCUUCUAUUAGUUUCAUAAAUCAAUCUGUUUGUAUUGCUGAUGGACCAUCUAUUCCCAUUUAUAGUCAGGGUGAUGCCCACUUUUCCACAGAUAUUACUCUUUCCUCAAUUUAUUAUGCUCUGAAUUUUGCCUAUAAUUUUCUUUCUGUUAGUUGUCUUGCAAAAAACCUUAAUUGUGCCGUUGUAGUCUUACCAUCUCGUUGUUUCUUGCAGGACUUGAUUUCGAAGAAGAUUCUUGGCAGGGGAUAUGAGAGUGAUGAACUGUACUACUUUGGGGAUCCGCCAACAUCUAUUGCUUUGUCCUUCAAUCUUCAAGCCUCUACUCUACCAGUCUUAGAGCCCUCCAUUUUAAGUUAGUCUAUAUUAAAUUCGUUUGUUUGUUCUAUUAAAACUUUAAAUUAGUGGCAUGCUCAUUUAGGGUAUGCAAUUUUUUUGUAUUUAUGUUGCCUUUUCUCCCAUCUUAAAAAGG